CUGAAAUAACCCACAGCCGGAAUAACCCACGGCUGGAAUAACCCACAGCUGGAAUAACCCACAGCUGCAGAAACUGACAGCUGGAAAAACCCACGACUGGAAUAAUCUGCAGCUGCAAAAAUCCACAGCUGGAAAAACCCACUGCUGCAAAAAUCCACCACUGCAAAAAUCCACCGCUGCAAAAACCCACAGUUGCAAAAAUCCACCACUGCAAAAAUCCUCCUCUGCGGCGGCAGCAGGAGAAGCUGAAACUGCUUCAUCCGGCGUGAAAGGAGCAAAACAUUUUGUUAAAUAGAAAGAGGAAUAAUGCAAAUGACCAGUUACUUUGAUCAACUCAUCUGUGCUGUGCCACGGAAGGCAGGUCCAUUGCUUUCCAGCGUUCCUGGAGAAAAGCAGAGUUAAACUCUCAGAGCCCCAGUGGGAUCAGUGGCCUCAGCAGACAAUCCAGACUGAUCUACCUGGAAACUGGAAUGCCAAGGCACAGCAGGAGAAGGUGAAAUGAACUGUGUGUUUUCAUGCAGAGGUUUAUGCUAAGUACAGUGCACAUGAAAGCACACCAUCCCAAAAAUGAAAUGCUUUCAUGACUAAGUGCUGUAUGGGAUCCACUGGCAUUGCUCUUCCAGGGAAUAAGAGAGUUCUCUCUGCAGGGGAACCCAUGACUUCAGGAAGCUGAGGCAGCAACAAUACUGGAAAAAACUGAUCUGAGGGAAGGCAGUUGAUGGUGGAAAUUAC